rnacentral:rRNA from 1 species
CCUACGGGCGGCAGCAGUCGAGAAUCAUUCACAAUGGGGGAAACCCUGAUGGGGCGACGCCGCGUGGGGGAAUGAAGGUCUGCGGAUUGUAAACCCCUGUAAUGUGGGAGCAAAUUAAAAAGAUAGUACCACAAGAGGAAGAGACGGCUAACUCUGGGCCAGCAGCCGCGGUAAUACAGAGGUCUCAAGACUUGUUCGGAAUCACUGGGCGUAAAGCGUGCGUAGGCUGUUUCGUAAGUCGUGUGUGAAAGGCGCGGGCUCAACCCGCGGACGGCACCUGAUACUGCGAGACUAGAGUAAUGGAGGGGGGACCGGAAUUCUCGGUGUAGCAGUGAAAUGCGUAGAUAUCGGGAGGAACACUCGUGGCGAAGGCGGGUUCCUGGACAUUAACUGACGCUGAGGCACGAAGGCCAGGGGAGCGAAAAGGAUUAGAUACCCCAGUAGUC